UACAGGGGGUGCAAACGUUGCUCGGAAUUAUUGGGCGUAAAGAGCUCGUAGGCGGUGUGUCGCGUCGGCCGUGAAAACCUGCAGCUUAACGGUGGGCUUGCGGUCGAUACGGGCACGCUAGAGUUCGGUAGGGGAGACUGGAAUUCCUGGUGUAGCGGUGAAAUGCGCAGAUAUCAGGAGGAACACCGGUGGCGAAGGCGGGUCUCUGGGCCGAUACUGACGCUGAGGAGCGAAAGCGUGGGGAGCGAACAGG
rnacentral:rRNA from 1 species